UCAACGAAGGUAGGUUCUCGUGGCAGGAUACACUUGCUCGAAGUUCACCACUUAGCUGAUUUUUGGCAAGAUUUAUGGAUUCAAUUGAUGGCAAAGAAAACAGAAUGAAGGAAUUGGUCCUUGAAGUUUAUUAGAUGAGAUAUCAAGUAUUUGAAGACGAUUAAACUUAAUGAAAUCUGGAGGAAUUUGGAUCUCAAAGCCAUGCUCCUAAGAUUGAUACGUACCAGGUUGUUGCCUAAAGAAGGAAACUUAGGUCCAAGAGGAUUGUUACUGAUAUCUAGCUCUUCAAGCUGUGAUAGGCCUUUCAGAUCUGGAAUACUUCCAUUUAACAGAUUAUCAGCCAAAACAAGACUUUUCAGGUUCUUGAAAGUGGCAAUCUCUGGGGGAUGCCACCCUGAAUGAAGUUGGAACUAAUGUUUAGCACCUCAGAGAAUCAAGCCUAUCAACCUUGGCAGGUAAUGGUCCCCAUAUUCCCAGGGAUACUAAUGACAGCCUUUUCAGAUUGGAAAGCUUAGUUAUGACUGUAAAGAAUGAAUCAAUUGAAAAUCCCUGGGACAGAGUUCUGUGAGGUAUGGAAAAGUUUGCAGCAGAUGGUUUUGGAACCUUUGAAGGGCUGCUUUUAUUUCCAACAAUAGUUAACUCAGUAAUGUGAUUACCUGAGCACAAGAUGACUAAAGAAGGUGACUGAGGGAGAGAACAAAAGUUUGUCCAGUUAUUCCAUCCUUUAAGAACGUCUGGAUAUUCAAGAAAUUGUUGAACUCGGUAAAGGAUUCUUGUUUCUGCAGGAACUAGCUGUGCACUAGGAGCAUGAACAAGCAGGAGUAGGAACAAAGACAGCAAGAAACUGUACCCAAUACGAAAAACCUCCAUUUCUUGGGAAAUGAAGUGCUAAUCAACCCACUGCAAAACCUCAAAUUUCUUCCACAGUAAUAUGCCAACAAGAAUUUAGCUAAAUCCUAGUUUACAUGUAGCACUCUGAGGUGGAACUGCAAGCAGAGCAGUUAAAGAAAGCAAAAGCAUGAGAUCCUAGUUUACAUGUAGUAUAUUCAAAGUUUAACUAAAGAAGCAUUAGGACCGAAUCAUACUCUAUAUUCUGCAAGAUUGCAAGAAAGAUUUAACGAAGAGAAUGAUUAAAGAAUUAAUGAAAAACUACAGAAUUGUCCUCUCUAGUUGUACUAGAAAAGAUUCUCUGGAAGAGGAGGAGAUGGCAGUUGGAGGAAGAACAUGGUGGGAAGUGCUUUCAAGAACUUCAAAAUGUGAAGGAAAAAUUUAAUGGGGUGGAUAGAGUCAGAGAUCUGAGGUCGAAGGGAUUGAAGUUUCCAUGCAAGUUAAGGUAAUGAGGCCAAUAAUGUGGUGGUUUCGCACUCAUUGAGGCUGACUGAAAGACAGGGAACCCCAUUCCCAUUCCCUUUCCUGGUCCUGCGCUAACAACAUGACAAUUGCUUUAUUAAAUUGCCAUUGCCAGUAAUAUUUAAGCCAAAGAUUUGCAUAUAUAGCUUGACGGCUGUGAACUUGUGUGAUGCAAAAGUCAACAGUAGCACUGAAUUCAAAGACUGCUAAUAAUAAUGCAUCCAUUUGACUGAUUGAAUGUGCUUAGACUCACUCAACUCUGAAGCUCAAGAAAAGGUAUCCCAAUUGUCACUAGUGACAGCCCACAGGCACGUGCAGUUUUCUAUGAAGUUUCACAGUUCGCUUUUUUUUUUUUUUUUUUUUUUAUUAAUUUCCUUCUUCAUGAGAGGUUUCUCUCACGAUAUGCUUGAAAUAGGACAAGAAUACGGUAGCGGUACACCUGGAUGAUAAUGGGGCAGGAGAUCUUUUUUUAUCCCAUGAUCUAAUUAUCAUAAAUCAGUUCUAAUUAGAAUAAAAGUAUUAAUUAGUUAUGUAUAAUUGCAAUUAAUUGAUUUUGUAUAUAAUUUUAUUAUGUUAUAACAGCGUGUAUAUAGGAUGUUAAUUUCAUCUUUUCUUUUAGUCUUUUCUAUGUUAUGUUAGGCUAAACUACUAGUCGUAGUAGGAGUACCAUUAGUAGUGUCGUGGUGAUGACAUUAGUAAAUAAAGGGCAUCAUUGGACUAGUAAUGACAAUUGUAGUAGUAAUUAAAAAUUAUAGUAUGUAGGAAUGGCAGCAGCCGUCCCCUCCCCUUUUCCCUCUAUCCCACAUCGAUUGUGAGUGUUGUAUGUGUACUACUUAACGUUUUCAGUGUAGUCUGAAAAUCAACAAACCUUUUGGAUUGGGCUGUGGGUUUCCCUUAGAUAGUGUGUAUGUGUUUGUGUUAUUUAUGGUUUGUUGGUGGAUAAGGAAAAUCUUGCGAGUGGUUAAAAGCCGUUGGUGAGCCUUUGACAAUAAUCGUGGUGUUUCCCCUCCCCCUUUCCCUCUAUCCCACACCGAUUGUGAGUGAUGUGUGUGUGUACUAUUUAAGGUUCUUAGUGUAACCUGAAAGUCAGCAUGCCUUUUGGGUUGAGAUGUGAGUUUUUCUUAAACAGUGUGUGUAUGUUAUUUAUGGUUGUCGGUAAGAAUGACAGCAGCAGUAGCAUCAGUUACUAACAGUAAUAAAUUUAGUUGUUCAAGGAAAAAAAAAUGAAUUUACCCUAUGGGCACCUGGUAGGGGUAACGGAGGUGAGGACGAGGCGGUGGCAGGGAAUGUUUCUCAACCCGUCCAACUACCCCGUUGCCAUCCCUAUGAGUAUUGUGCAUGGAGAAGUUGUCAAUAAUGAUGAUAAAGUUGACAAAUAAAGCCGGUACAAAACAUAUUAGUUCGGUAAAAAUGAAUCACUUUCUCACGUGAUUUGAUCAUAUUUUAUUAUUAACGUGAAAAUUAUGUUGAUAAAUAAUCUCUAAAAAAAAAAUUUCUACAAGUAACCUAUCAUCCCAAAAUAUGUUAUGACUUGUAGUGAUGAUCGGAAUCAAAUUCACUCAAACUCUUCGUAACAAUUACUUAAAAAAAAAGAAGAAGAAAAAAGGUAAAUGAAAAAGGAGAAGUGCAUCUGGGGCGGGGUUGCAUUGGGACAGGGCUACAGUUACCCAUCCAGGCAUCUACCCUAAUCAGAGUCUGUGCAAUGUGCUUUUGUCGGUGGGAUAUGACACCGAGUGUAUCGCUUGCUUCAAUGAUGUGUGAGUUGUACCAAAUCCAUUUAUUCACUUGGCAGACAAGUGUGUUGGUGAGCGUAGUUGCACACAUUUUCCUUUUAGCCUUUUGCUUGUGGACGAUAAUUGACAGCCCUUUGGCGGAUGCAAAGACAAGAAAAGGUUCUCUUUACUAAACGCAGAACAAAGAUAAAAAGGUGAUGCUUCUUUCCAAUAGACUUAUCCACCUGUAGCUUGCAAUCAUUAAGAAUUUGUUUUAAAUUCCCAUCACUGAGCUGGAUCUGGGUCCUCCUUAUCAAAAAAACUAAAGGAUUGAGACUCUUUGGAUAGCUAAAGUCAUGAAUUUUUUUAUGAAUUAAUCUCCUGUAUACUGACAACGUGGAUACUUUUUUAUUGAAUGCAUGACAUAUAAUUUAAAUUUGAAUUUAAAGUCUAAAUUUUGUAAACGUAUCAUACAUGCCGAUAAUAAAUAUACUGUCAAUGUAUAUUAAAUUUACUCUUUUUACAAUUAUAUAUUUCUCUCAUAUUGUUGUGCUCCUAAAUUGCCAAAUUACAUACUCCCUCUUAAUUAGUUGGUUAAGUGAUCACAAGAAGAAGAUCAGAUUAGCUGUUGAUUUAACAAAACCAGAGGCAAUUCAACAUCUAAACCACCAUGAGGAUUCUUUAGGUAGUUGUUUUGGUUUGCUUAUGCUUAAGAAUGGAUUUAAGUAUAUUUUAAAGAUUUUUGGAUGCUUUUUUUUUUUAAUGAAUUAAUCUUCUAUACAUUGAUAGUGUGUACACUUUUGCUAUUGUGGCAUGAUACAUAGUUCAAAUUUGAAUUUGAAACUUAAAUUUUAUAUAUAUGUCAUGUAUCCAAUCAUGAUAGUAUAUACACUGCCAGUGUAUAUAAGAUUUACUUUUUUUUAUAAUAUACAUGUUAUUUAUAUUUUCUUAUUUUGUAUUUUCAUUUAGAAAAUUUCUUAAAGGGCUUUUCAAUUUUGUGCAAAGCCAUGCUCUCAUUUGAGUUUUAUGCAAAUGGUAACCUUAAAAAAAAAAAAAAAAAAUCAUUUUUAUUGUAUUAUUCAAAUUUUGCAUAAUUGUCAUUUAUCCAUAUGAUAAUAGUGUAUAUAUUGUCAGUGUAGGAAAGAUUAAUCCUUAAUAUAUAGGAUCAAUCUUUUCCUACACUCAAUGUUAGAUGCAUGACAAUUAUGGCAAAUUUGAAUUUGAAAUUUAACUUUUGUACAUGUCUUAUGGAUCCAAUAGUGAUGUGUAUACACUGUUCCUGUAUAUAAGAUUUACUCAUAUACAUAAUCCUGUAUAUCUUUGGUUUCCAGUCUAAAUUUUUGCCGCUUUGGGGCAUACGAUCGAUCGUCAAGUGAGAGAGAAUAUUGCAAAGGUAUUUAUAGAACACUUCCAGCAGAACAAGCUCAAGUUAACUAUUAAAGCCAUCAUUAAGGAACACAACUACAAUUGAUAAGAAACACUGAUGAUAGGUCAAGAAAUACUGUGAAGCCAGUGAUCAAUUGAUAGACAAUUUAACACAAGAACACAUCAAGAUUUAAAGCGCCAUUUACAUAUACUGCAUUCUAAUACCACAUCUCGAUUGUCAGAGAGAGAAAAUUCCAGACACCAUCAUAUAAGUACAAUAUUUGCCACAUGAAAAACAUAAUACAAUUCCAAAAGACACUGACGAUUAAAGCAAAAAUCAACCAACACAUCAUUAGGAACAAGACAUCACCAUUAUCACUCUCACGAAUUAGCCUGAAUAAAUAUUGCAUCCUUUUGACCCGUUUUUCCUCUUUAGUUAGUAUGCAUUUUCUGCAUUUCAAGCACGCCAUUAGAACAUAGUGCCAAUUUAUAAAAUAGUGUAAUUAACAUCUUCACUAUGGUACAAAAUACCAUUGAUCCGACGUCAUUGCCUCCUAUUUGAAAUGGGAAGACGUGCCAUUUCUGUGCACAUAGUAAAAGGAAACGGAAAUCAGACAAUGUUUUAGUGGUCACAAUUCAAGUAUUCAGAACCUAAAUUAAGGAAAAUACAAGAAACAAUACCUUCAAGAUGAAACUUAGACAAAGAUGCCAAGAAAGACAAAACUUAUUGACAAGAAAGAACAAAAAUUCAGAAUUCGGAAACUGGCUUAAAUCAAAUAUGGCUUAUAUAGUGGCUGGUACGCCUAUCUUUGACCAUUCAGGUUUCAGAAUUCAUGAUACCAUUUGUAUAAGACUAGUUUGGAAUUUGACCAAGGUGAAUUAUUUUCCUCAAUUUAGUUGGUACCUUCUGAUUUGAACAAGAUUAGAUUCAUAAAAAACAUAUCAAGAUCAGAACUGGACUAAAUAAUAACAUGGAUACGGUAACAAAAACCCACCAAAAACUGAAAUGAGUUUCAGAAAAUUCACUACAAGAUGCAUUUCUGAAUGUUUUGAAUUUUGCUAACAAGAAGCAAAUAAAGUGAUGUUGAUCCUUGACCUUAAAGACAGAUAAAAGUUAAGACAAAUGAGUUAUAGAUGCAGAAGUUAUAUUUCCUUUGCAGAGAAGCAUUGUCAGUUUUACUCAACAAUUCAAGUAAACAACAUCUGAUGGUACCAAAUAAGCACCUGAAAGGAUUUCAAAUCAGACAAGAGGAGUGAUCAGUUUGGAUUUUCCUUGAACAAUGCACAAGUUCGUAAAACAACUUUAGAGCACUCCUCGUAAUUUAGCGAACUUAGCAAUGUACAAAAAAAAUAACAAGGUUUCAGUCACUUAAAGAGCAAAAAAGUAUAAUAGAAUACUGAACAUGUUCAGAUUUAAAAGCUACUUUGAACCAACUUUAUAAGGUCUACCAUAGCAACUACACUUUCUGAAUGUUUUAAAUUUUGCUAGCACAGUCAGUUUAAGGAAAAAGCUCAAAAAACUGGACUUUUAAGUAUGACAUAACCAAAAGUACACUGAAAAUAAGACUCAAACAAUUCAAGUAGAUUUCUAUCUUGUAUAGAGUGGGUAGAAGCAUAACUAUUGACCUUACAUAGAAAUCGAGCUUACACAGAAUCACCCUUACAUAGGGAAGACAGAGGGUCAUUGGGAAUGACAAGAACAUUAGCCAAAGACACACUAUGGAUUAACAAACGUUAUCUUAUAUGAAUUUAACUUUUCAAUGGUUUGUCAAGAUCAACAUGGCAAUGGAAAGAACUUGAAUUCUCACCAAGAUCACAUUAAUCAUACUUUGUGGUAUUCACGGACAGUAAAUAUCAAUACAUUAUCACUUCUAGUAGUUGUCACAAAGUGCAAAAAAUUCCUUUCCUUUGGCUUCAUCAAUGGUUUCUUCCCAGUUUUUCAGAAUCCUCAACACUUCAUAUGGGAAUAAAUUUAAAAUGUUACCUUCAAGAAACCAAAAUCAAACAAAAGCAACACUUCCUAGUCUAUAUAUUAAUCCAUUCCACUGAGCUUUUGUUUUUUCAUACUUUAUAUUUCC
rnacentral:lncRNA from 1 species